UAAGGGCGCACGGUGGAUGCCUUGGCACUAGAAGCCGAUGAAGGACGUUACUAACGACGAUAUGCUUUGGGGAGCUGUAAGUAAGCUUUGAUCCAGAGAUUUCCGAAUGGGGAAACCCAGCAUGAGUUAUGUCAUGUUAUCGAUAUGUGAAUACAUAGCAUAUCAGAAGGCACACCCGGAGAACUGAAACAUCUUAGUACCCGGAGGAAGAGAAAGAAAAUUCGAUUCCCUUAGUAGCGGCGAGCGAAACGGGAAGAGCCCAAACCAACAAGCUUGCUUGUUGGGGUUGUAGGACACUCUAUACGGAGUUACAAAGGACGACAUUAGACGAAUCAUCUGGAAAGAUGAAUCAAAGAAGGUAAUAAUCCUGUAGUCGAAAAUGUUGUCUCUCUUGAGUGGAUCCUGAGUACGACGGAGCACGUGAAAUUCCGUCGGAAUCUGGGAGGACCAUCUCCUAAGGCUAAAUACUCUCUAGUGACCGAUAGUGAACCAGUACCGUGAGGGAAAGGUGAAAAGCACCCCGGAAGGGGAGUGAAAUAGAACCUGAAACCGUGUGCUUACAAGUAGUCAGAGCCCGUUAAUGGGUGAUGGCGUGCCUUUUGUAGAAUGAACCGGCGAGUUACGAUUUGAUGCAAGGUUAAGCAGUAAAUGUGGAGCCGUAGCGAAAGCGAGUCUGAAUAGGGCGUUUAGUAUUUGGUCGUAGACCCGAAACCAGGUGAUCUACCCUUGGUCAGGUUGAAGUUCAGGUAACACUGAAUGGAGGACCGAACCGACUUACGUUGAAAAGUGAGCGGAUGAACUGAGGGUAGCGGAGAAAUUCCAAUCGAACCUGGAGAUAGCUGGUUCUCUCCGAAAUAGCUUUAGGGCUAGCCUCAAGUGAUGAUUAUUGGAGGUAGAGCACUGUUUGGACGAGGGGCCCCUCUCGGGUUACCGAAUUCAGACAAACUCCGAAUGCCAAUUAAUUUAACUUGGGAGUCAGAACAUGGGUGAUAAGGUCCGUGUUCGAAAGGGAAACAGCCCAGACCACCAGCUAAGGUCCCAAAAUAUAUGUUAAGUGGAAAAGGAUGUGGCGUUGCCCAGACAACUAGGAUGUUGGCUUAGAAGCAGCCAUCAUUUAAAGAGUGCGUAAUAGCUCACUAGUCGAGUGACACUGCGCCGAAAAUGUACCGGGGCUAAACAUAUUACCGAAGCUGUGGAUUGUCCUUUGGACAAUGGUAGGAGAGCGUUCUAAGGGCGUUGAAGCAUGAUCGUAAGGACAUGUGGAGCGCU
rnacentral:rRNA from 1 species